UACGUAGGGUGCGAGCGUUAAUCGGAAUUACUGGGCGUAAAGCGUGCGCAGGCGGUUUUGUAAGUCAGAUGGGAAAUCCCCGGGCUCAACCUGGGAACUGCAUUUGAGACUGCAAGGCUAGAGUGUGGCAGAGGGGGGUGGAAUUCCACGUGUAGCAGUGAAAUGCGUAGAUAUGCGGAGGAACACCGAUGGCGAAGGCAAUCCCCUGGGCCUGCACUGACGCUCAUGCACGAAAGCGUGGGGAGCAAACAGG
rnacentral:rRNA from 1 species